rnacentral:rRNA from 1 species
UUCCCAUUCCGAACAGAGAAGUUAAGCCCGCCAGAGCCGAUGGUACUGCAGUAAAAUGUGGGAGAGUAGGUCGGUGCCAAAU